rnacentral:rRNA from 1 species
GACGAACGCUGGCGGCGUGCCUAAUACAUGCAAGUAGGACGCAGUUGCGAACGGGUGAGUAACGCGUAGGUCAAUGCCUAUUAGAGGGGGGUAACUAUUGGAAACGAUAGCUAAUACCGCAUACUAGUAGAUGGACCUGCGUUGUAUUAGCUAGUAGGUAGGGUAAUGGCCUACCUAGGCAACGAUACAUCGCCGACCUGGGAGGGUGAUCGGCCAAACUGGGAAUGUGACACGGCCCAGACUCCUACGGGAGGCAGCAGUAGGGAAUCUUCGGCAAUGGGGGGAACCCUUACCGAGCAACGCCGCGUGAGUGAAGAAGGUUUUCGGAUCUUAAAGCUCUGUUGUUAAGGAAGCGGUACUUAACCAGAAAGGGACGGCUAACUACGUGCCAGCAGCCGCGGUAAUAC